rnacentral:rRNA from 1 species
CCUACGGGAGGCUGCAGUAAGGAAUAUUGGUCAAUGGAGGAAACUCUGAACCAGCCAUCCCGCGUGAAGGAUGAAGGGGCUCUGCCUUGUAAACUUCUUUUGUCUGGGGCGAAAAAGCUCGAUUUAUCGAGAACUGACGGUACCAGACGAAUAAGCACCGGCUAACUCCGUGCCAGCAGCCGCGGUAAUACGGAGGGUACAAGCAUUACCCGGAAUCAAUGGGGCUAAGGGGGGUUAGGGCGGCUUAGGGGAAAGGCUGUGGCUUAACCAUGGAAUUGCCAUUGAUACUGCAGAGCUUGAAUGAGGUUGAGGUUGGCGGAAUGUGACAUGUAGCGGUGAAAUGCUUAGAUAUGUCAUGGAACACCGAUUGCGAAGGCAGCUGACUGGACCUAUAUUGACGCUGAGGCACGAAAGCGUGGGGAGCGAACAGGAUUAGAUACCCUAGUAGUC